UAUCUUUUGGUAAAUUCUCUAUAAAUGUUCGGCAAACAACUAGCGACAUACAAAAGUCCUCCUUCAUCAGCCAAUGUGGGUUUCUUAAGCUUGCGAUAUGGAUGGAUACAGAUAACCAACAAGAUGCUGCCGAGGAAAUUCAGACAAUCAUUCCAAUGUCCAUACUGACGGGUCGGUAGGAAAUACUACAUUCGCAACUGGCAGAAGAUUUUCCAAUAUAUGUCUGUCAAAAAGACAAUCAAGCACACGAAGAUCAAAAAGAAAAAAGAUACUACACGCCAGAAGAUCAUCUUCGCAAAACGUUUUCCCAGCAUGCAUUCUUAUUAAAUAUGGAAUGAAGGUGUAUCAAGGAAUAUUGUUGGAGCAUGGCAGGGUCAUAUGGCAUGAAAUUCAAAUGAUUAAAGAGCUAACUGCUCAUUGUCUCUCUCUAUGAUUUUAAAUCUACUAAAUUUCCGUUGA